CCUCUUUUGCAACAUCUGAUGCAGCAAUGUACUCGGCCUCUGUAGUGGAAUCAGCAGUCGUACUCUGUUUGGAACUCUUCCAACUAACUGCACCUCCAUUACAAAUAAACACAAACUCAGAGGUAGACUUUCUAUCAUCUAUAUCUGAUUGAAAAUCAGAAUCAGUAUAACCAUCCAAUUGCAAGUCAACACCUACAUAAAUC
rnacentral:misc_RNA from 1 species